AUGUUCCUAAGUGUCCCAACUUAUUUCAUUAAGUUAUUAUUUGGCUAAUUAGUUAUAUAUAUGCUUAUUAUAUGAUAACUAGGCUCGUGCGUGUGAACAAGUCUCCGUUUGCCACCUAGCACGAUAUCCGACACUACCAUCCAAACCACUCACCACAAGUGAAUUCAUACCCCUUUAAUUAACCUUUGAAAUGCUUUUAAAUGUUUUAAAUACUUUAUGGGGGGAUACAAGUUCAAUGCUUAUAGUUAUUGAAAUCAAUCACAUGUGAUUGCAUUAAUCACAUGUGAUUAAUAACUAGAAAACCAAUGAUUUUAUCACUGUUCAAACUGUUUAUCAAACUGCUUUACCUCGAAAUGUUUUAAAAACUCUUUUACUUAUAAAAUACUUUUAUUUAAACCUUUUUAUACUUCUUAUAAAUUUCAUGACCAUAUAUGUAUAGAUAUAUAAGAAAUGUUUAAAGGGCUUAGGAAGGCCAUCCGCCCUAUUUCCUUUUUCUCGAUUUGGAUGUGGUCUGGUGGGAUUUCGGGUGACCAUCCGAAGGUCGUUUCAAUAUUAAUUAUAUAUCAAAUAUACAUAUAUAGACAUAAAAGUACUUCCAUAUUCAUGCGUACUAUUCACAUCACUAGUAAGUUACCAUCGGGGUAACACAGGAUCAUACUACUACAACUUCUAGAUCAAUGAGUCAGUUCAUUCAUGAGUCUAUACAUUACAUUACUACGAGAACAUAUACACCUAUACUAGGAAGAGAACACAUACAUAUAUACUAUAAAGAGAACAUAUACAACUAUACUAGGAAGAGAACACAUACAACUAUACUAGAAAGAGAACAUAUACAACUAUACUAGGAGGAGAACAUAUACAACUAUACUAGAACGAGAAACAUUACACUAC
rnacentral:lncRNA from 1 species